rnacentral:rRNA from 1 species
UCCCAGUUCGGAUUGUAGUCUGCAACCCGACUACAUGAAGCUGGAAAUCGCUAGUAAUCGCGGAUCAGAAUGCCGCGGUGAAUACGUUCCCGGGUCUUGUACACACCGCCCGUCACACCAUGGGAGUCGGAAAUGCCCGAAGUCUGUGACCCAACCUUAGGGAGGGAGCAGCCGAAGGCAGGUCGGAUGACUGGGGUGAAGUCGUAACAAGGUACC